rnacentral:tRNA from 1 species
AGCUAAAUAGUUUAAUUUAAAACAUUAAUUUUGUAAAUUAAAAAUAAAAAAAUUUUUUAGCUA